rnacentral:lncRNA from 1 species
AUGAGCCCUGCUGCAAGUCUUGUCCAGCAGAAAAUCAGGCUGUUCGUCAAGAAAUUAGGCGAAGGUUUCCAUUCCAAGAACACAUACACAAAGUUGGAGCAUGCCUCUGAGAGCUCCGAUAAUAAGCAUAAGCAUGGAGAUAUUCAAGUAGCUCCAAAAGGUUAUGUGUUUUUGUAUGUGGGGGAAGAGCGAAAGCGGUAUACAGUUUCUUUGAAGUGUCUCUAUUGUCCAGCUUUCGAAGAAGCGAUGGUCGAGUCGCAGCCGGAUGUGUUCGAUGUCAAGAUUGAAGGGCCUAUUGAGCUUUUAUCAUGUACAACCGAGGACUUUCAUAAGCUGAUGUCGAAGAUCAAGAAGGAGGGUCAUUAG